rnacentral:rRNA from 1 species
GAUGAACGCUGGCGGCGUGCCUAAUACAUGCAAGUCGAGCGAACGGACGAGAAGCUUGCUUCUCUGAUGUUAGCGGCGGACGGGUGAGUAACACGUGGAUAACCUACCUAUAAGACUGGGAUAACUUCGGGACACCGUAGCUAAUACCGGAUAAUAUUUUGAACCGCAUGGUUCAAAAGUGAAAGACGGUCUUGCUGUCACUUAUAGAUGGAUCCGCGCUGCAUUAGCUAGUUGGUAAGGUAACGGCUUACCAAGGCAACGAUGCAUAGCCGACCUGAGAGGGUGAUCGGCCACACUGGAACUGAGACACGGUCCAGACUCCUACGGGAGGCAGCAGUAGGGAAUCUUCCGCAAUGGGCGAAAGCCUGACGGAGCAACGCCGCGUGAGUGAUGAAGGUCUUCGGAUCGUAAAACUCUGUUAUUAGGGAAGAACAUAUGUGUAAGUAACUGUGCACAUCUUGACGGUACCUAAUCAGAAAGCCACGGCUAACUACGUG